rnacentral:rRNA from 1 species
AACUCUUAGCGGUGGAUCACUCAGCUUGUGCGUCGAUGAAGAAUGCAGCUAGCUGCAAGAAUUAAUGUGAAUUGCAGGACACAUUGAUCAUCAACACUUUGAACACACUUGUGGCCCUGGGUUCCUCCUGAGGCUAUGCCUGUCUGAGCAUCG